rnacentral:rRNA from 1 species
AGAGUUUGAUCCUGGCUCAGAACGAACGCUGGCGGCAGGCUUAACACAUGCAAGUCGAACGCCCCGCAAGGGGAGUGGCGAACGGGUGAGUAACACGUGGGCAACCUGCCCCUGGCUCUGGGAUAACUCCAAGAAAUUGGGGCUAAUACCGGAUAUGACCGCUGACCGCAUGGUCUGGUGGUGGAAAGAUUUAUCGGCUGGGGAUGGGCCCGCGGCCUAUCAGCUUGUUGGUGGGGUAGUGGCCUACCAAGGCGACGACGGGUAGCCGGCCUGAGAGGGUGACCGGCCACACUGGGACUGAGACACGGCCCAGACUCCUACGGGAGGCAGCAGUGGGGAAUAUUGCGCAAUGGGCGAAAGCCUGACGCAGCGACGCCGCGUGGGGGAUGACGGCCUUCGGGUUGUAAACCUCUUUCAGCAGGGACGAAGCGCAAGUGACGGUACCUGCAGAAGAAGCGCCGGCCAACUACGUGCCAGCAGCCGCGGUAAGACGUAGGGCGCGAGCGUUGUCCGGAUUUAUUGGGCGUAAAGAGCUCGUAGGCGGCUUGUCGCGUCGACUGUGAAAACCCGCGGCUCAACCGCGGGCCUGCAGCCGAUACGGGCAGGCUAGAGUUCGGUAGGGGAGACUGGAAUUCCUGGUGUAGCGGUGAAAUGCGCAGAUAUCAGGAGGAACACCGAUGGCGAAGGCAGGUCUCUGGGCCGAUACUGACGCUGAGGAGCGAAAGCGUGGGGAGCGAACAGGAUUAGAUACCCUAGUAGUCC